rnacentral:rRNA from 1 species
UACGGGGGGGGCAAGCGUUGUUCGGAAUUACUGGGCGUAAAGGGCUCGUAGGUGGCCAACUAAGUCAGACGUGAAAUCCCCAGGCUCAACUUGGGAACUGCGUCUGAUACUGGAGGGCUUGAGUGCGGGAGAGGGAUGUGGAAUUCCAGGUGUAGCGGUGAAAUGCGUAGAUAUCUGGAGGAACACCGGUGGCGAAGGCGGCAUCCUGGACCGACACUGACGCUGAUGCGCGAAAGCCAGGGGAGCAAACGGG